rnacentral:misc_RNA from 1 species
GAUGAAGAACGCAGCGAAAUGCGAUAAGUAAUGUGAAUUGCAGAAUUCAGUGAAUCAUCGAAUCUUUGAACGCACAUUGCUCCCGUCAGUAUUCUGGCGGGCAUGCCUGUUCGAGCGUCAUUACGCCCCUCAAGUCCCCUGUGGACUUGGUGUUGGGGAUCGGCGAGGCUGGUUUUCCAGCACAGCCGUCCCUUAAAUUAAUUGGCGGUCUCGCCGUGGCCCUCCUCUGCGCAGUAGUAAAACACUCGCAACAGGAGCCCGGCGCGGUCCACUGCCGUAAAACCCCCCAACUUUUUAUAGUUGACCUCGAAUCAGGUAGGACUACCCGCUGAACUUAAGCAUAUCAAUAAGCGGAGGA